CCCUAGUAUCCAUUGUCCUACUCUGCCAUCUUCUCCUUUUAAAAAAUAACUGCUUUAUCAUCAUCUAGUAGUAACAGAAUCCCACCCCCUUCAGCAGGCAGAUCACUGUCAAGCUAGGCUUUUAUUUCUCAGCCUCUCCUGCAGCAGGAUCAGGCUAUGUGCCAAAAGUUUCACCAGUGAACAAGAGAGAGCACAAUGUUGGCAACUUCUGUGUCAUGUGCUUAAAAGAAUAUUGCUAAAUUGUUAACAACUGGUGAAGCGCAUUAUUCUUUCAAAAAUUGAGGAGGUUUGAAAUUUUCAAAAUAAAAGAUGGGGUUAAAAAAAAAAAGGAAAUUGCUCGCUCUGUACUUCCUCUCCCCUUUCCCACUGGCUAGAAGAUGGAUGCCGUGGGGAGCCCAAUCAAUCAUAAAAACAGGCAAAACUCAGGUGCCUGCUACUCAGUGCAGUCUGCGGUCCAGGAGCAGCGGCAUCACCUGGGAGCUUGCUAAAAAUGCAGAACCUCAGGACUCAGUUGGACUGAGUCAGAAUGGGCACUUAAUUCAGAAUCUGCAUUCAACAAGACCCCCAUGUGAGUAACAAGCACAGUACAGUUUGAAAAAACACUCCCUAAGUAACAACAGAGUAACAACAUUCUAUUGUUUCCACGGGGUGUGUGUUUGUUUUGAGACCGUGCCCGGCUGUUUCCAGGGUUCUAAAUACAGCACCGUUAAGAUGAACUGGCAAACAGAACAGCAUAGACGAGGUUUUGUCAUGUUGCCCAGGCUGGUCUCCAACUCCUGAGCUUAGGUGAUCCACCCACCUUGGCCUCCCAAAGUGUUAGGAUUACAGGUGUGAGCCACCACACCUGGCCAGAUGAUGAAACACCCACCCAAGGCUUCUAUACCAUGCAGAAUGAUGCCUCUCUCCACUGGCUGCCCUGAGCACAUGCCAUGAAGAAUGAAAGCCAGGAGACAAAGGAACAAACUAGUUCAUCAUUAAAACCUGUAUGCUUUCCC
rnacentral:lncRNA from 1 species